UACGUAGGCAGCAAGCGUUGUUCGGAGUUACUGGGCGUAAAGGGUGUGUAGGCGGCCUGUUAAGUUCCGUGUGAAAUCUCCCGGCUCAACCGGGAGGGUGCGCGGAAAACUGGCGGGCUAGAGUGCGGGAUGGGAGAGUAGAAUUCCUGGUGUAGCGGUGAAAUGCGUAGAUAUCAGGAGGAAUACCGGUGGUGUAGACGGCUCUCUGGACCGCAACUGACGCUGAAACACGAAAGCGUGGGUAGCAAAACAGG
rnacentral:rRNA from 1 species